CCUACGGGAGGCAGCAGUGAGGAAUAUUGGUCAAUGGACGAGAGUCUGAACCAGCCAAGUAGCGUGAAGGAUGACUGCCCUAUGGGUUGUAAACUUCUUUUAUAUGGGAAUAAAGUAUUCCACGUGUGGGAUUUUGUAUGUACCAUAUGAAUAAGGAUCGGCUAACUCCGUGCCAGCAGCCGCGGUAAU
rnacentral:rRNA from 1 species